AUUGAACGCUGGCGGCAGGCCUAACACAUGCAAGUCGAACGGUAACAGGAAGAAGCUUGCUUCUUUGCUGACGAGUGGCGGACGGGUGAGUAAUGUCUGGGAAACUGCCUGAUGGAGGGGGAUAACUACUGGAAACGGUAGCUAAUACCGCAUAACGUCGCAAGACCAAAGAGGGGGACCUUCGGGCCUCUUGCCAUCGGAUGUGCCCAGAUGGGAUUAGCUAGUAGGUGGGGUAACGGCUCACCUAGGCGACGAUCCCUAGCUGGUCUGAGAGGAUGACCAGCCACACUGGAACUGAGACAUGGUCCAGACUCCUACGGGAGGCAGCAGUGGGGAAUAUUGCACAAUGGGCGCAAGCCUGAUGCAGCCAUGCCGCGUGUAUGAAGAAGGCCUUCGGGUUGUAAAGUACUUUCAGCGGGGAGGAAGGGAGUAAAGUUAAUACCUUUGCUCAUUGACGUUACCCGCAGAAGAAGCACCGGCUAACUCCGUG
rnacentral:rRNA from 1 species